AUACUUCCUUGGCAGGGGAGACACUGUGAUCACAAAGGUGGUUUUCCCAGGGCAAGGCUUAGCCAUUGUGCUCUGGAUGUGCCGACCCCUGCGAUUUCCCCAAAUGUGGGAAACUCGACUCCUUCAGUAGUGAAGGACUGCAUUCAUGCACUCCCUGA